AAUAGAUACCCUGGUAGUCCUGGCCGUAAACGAUCAGUACUAGACGGAGGGGAGGUUCGCCCUUUCUCGGUCGGUAGCGAAAGCGAUAAGUACUGCGCCUGGGGGAGUAUGGUCGCGAGGCUGAAACUCAAAGGAAUUGACGGGGGGCUCACACAAGCGGUGGAGCAUGUGGCUUAAUUCGAGGCAACGCGAAGAACCUUAUCCUAGGCUUGACAUGCUGGGAUUAGUUGGCUGAAAGGUCAAUGACGCCUUCGGGUGGAACCAGCACAGGUGCUGCAUGGCUGUCGUCAGCUCGUGCCGUGAGGUGUCGGGUUAAGUCCUUAAACGAGCGAAACCCCUGUCGUCAGUUGCCAGCAUUCAGUUGGGGACUCUGACGAGACCGCCGGUGUCAAACCGGAGGAAGGCGGGGGACGGACGUCAAGUCAUCAUGGCCUUUAUGCCUAGGGCUGCACACGUGCUACAAUGCGGCGUACAAAGGGAAGCCAACCCGCGAGGGGAGCCAAUACCCAAAAAGCGUCGCUCAGUUCGGAUUGCAGG
rnacentral:rRNA from 1 species